rnacentral:rRNA from 1 species
GCUUACGGCCACACAGCCUGGUUCACUCCCUGAUCUCGUUUGAUCUCGGAAGCUAAGAUAGGUUGGGCCUGGUUAGUACUUGGAUGGGAGACCGUCUGGGAAUACCAGGUGCUGUAUGCU